CACGUAGGGUGCGAGCGUUUGUCCGGAAUUAUUGGGCGUAAAGAGCUCGUAGGUGGUUUGUCGCGUCUGUCGUGAAAGCCCAUGGCUUAACUGUGGGCGUGCGGGCGAUACGGGCAGACUGGAGUACUGCAGGGGAGACUGGAAUUCCUGGUGUAGCGGUGGAAUGCGCAGAUAUCAGGAGGAACACCGGUGGCGAAGGCGGGACUCUGGGCCGAUACUGACGCUGAGGAGCGAAAGCGUGGGGAGCAAACAGG
rnacentral:rRNA from 1 species